UAGGAAGUGGUGUAGUGGAAGCACUUGGAGUUUUGAUCUCCAAAGGGUGGGUUCGAGUCCCCCCUUUCUAA
rnacentral:tRNA from 4 species